CAAAUCUCAACUUUAUUAGAAGAGACGCAUUUAUUAGAUAAAAAGCCAAUGCAUGCUUUUACAGUAUGGAAAUUGGUGAUUUAUAAUAACUAGGCAAAUCGCAAAGUGAAAACAGGCGAUAAAUCAUUCAAGUUUCUGACCUAUCAGCUUUCGACGGUAUGGUAUUGGCUUACCGUGGCAGUGACGAUUAACGGGGAAUUAGGGUUCGAUUCCGGAGAGGGAGCCUGAGAAACGGCUACCACAUCUAAGGAAGGCAGCAGGCGCGCAAAUUACCCAAUUCUAACAGUUUGAGAGAGGUAGUAACAAGAAAUAACAAUACAAGGCAAUUAAAAUGUUUUGUAAUUGGAAUGAUAGAAAUUUAAACCCUUUUUAAAGUAUCAAUUGGAGGGCAAGUCUGGUGCCAGCAGCCGCGGUAAUUCCAGCUCCAAUAGCGUAUAUUAAAAUUGUUGCAGUUAAAAAGCUCGUAGUUGAAGUUCUGCUAAAAGUAACCGGUCUGCUUUUAAUAAAAGUGGUAUCUUGGUGUGUAUUUAGCAAUGAUGUCCUUUGAAGUGUUUUUUACUUUAUUGUAAUAAAGCAUAUUCAGGACUUUUACUUUGAGAAAAUUAGAGUGUUUCUAGCAGGCCGACGCUUUGAAUACUGCAGCAG
rnacentral:rRNA from 1 species